rnacentral:lncRNA from 1 species
GGGUUAUGCUGGGAUUGUAGUCCCGAAGCGCCUGAAACAACGGGCGGGAGCAGUAAAGAGACUACAACUCCCAGCAUGCACAGCGAGGUCAGCACAGCCCGGCUUUCCUCUUCAGGACCGCGCGCCGCCCCAUGUUCACGCUGGCUGGGAUCGUAAUCCGGUCGCCCUGCAAUUAAAAAACUGGAAGCUAAUCAAAGACGACAACUCCCAGUAUGCCAGUCUCGCUUUGUAGCCCAGGCUGGAAUGCAGUGACUCGAUCUGGGCUCACUGCAACCUCCACCUCCCGGGUUCAAGCGAUUCUCCUGCCUCAGCCUCCCGAGUAGAUGAAAUUACAGACAACCGCCACCAUGCCCGGCUAAUUUUUGCAUUUUUUAGUAGAGAUUGGGUUUCACCAUGUGGGCCAGGCUGGUCUCGAACUCCUGACCUCAAGUGAUCUGCCCGCCGUGGCCACCCAAAGUGCUGGGAUUACAGGCGUCAGCCACUGCGCCCGGCCUGAAUCCAUUUUAACAUUUAGUUUUUCAGAUUAACUCGAAGUACCCCACAGCUACACGCUAAUGAAACUAGAGGAGGCACAGCCUCAGCUCCAUGCAGGAUGGAUGCACAAGAGCAGAAUCUCCAUGGGAUGCCUUUCUGGAGCAUCAGGAUUACUGCAGGAUUUGGAAGCAACAAGUUCAAAUAAUUUUCAACGUUAACACACUGGAAAUUUAAGAGAAGUCUGGAAAGUCAUCUACCUUUAAAAACUGUCAGUCAUCUGUGCCUAAGUCAGACUUUCUCCAAGAAAAAA